GUGAACGCUACAAUUCUGCAUUAGACAUGCGAGUCGAACGAAGUUAUUAUUAAAUAAUUUAGUGGCGUAAGGGUGCGAAGUGUAGUUGUUUGUUAUCUGUAAAUUUGGGAUAAAAAGCCAAGAUAUUGAAUAUAGCUUUAUAUUUUUAAAAAUUGAUUUGUUUCAGAUGCACGGCUAUCAGAUUAUGAAAAACGGUAGUAGGUGAGUUAAUGCUCACAUAGCCUGCGAUCUGCGGCUGAUUUUGAAGAAUGCACAGCCACAGCGAAAUUGAGAUACGGAUCGAACCUGUAUAGGGCAGCAGUUUGGAAUUUUGGGCAAUGAGUGAAAACUUGACCCAGCGAGAAUUUUUAUUCUAGGAAGACGUUAGAUUGGACUUUUUAAUUCAUUACAAAGAACAAUUGGAUCUUUUGUAGUUACAAGUACUUGCUAAGUCUGU
rnacentral:rRNA from 1 species